rnacentral:rRNA from 1 species
UACGUAGGGGUGCAAGCGUUGUCCGGAAUUAUUGGGCGUAAAGAGCUCGUAGGCGGUUUGUCGCGCCUGCUGUGAAAAACUCGGGGGCUUAACCCCCGGGCCUGCAGUGGGGUACGGGCAGACUAGAGUGCGGUAGGGGAGACUGGAAUUCCUGGUGUAGCGGUGAAAUGCGCAGAUAUCAGGAGGAACACCGGUGGCGAAGGCGGGUCUCUGGGCCGAAAACUGACGCUGGAGGAGCGAAAGCGUGGGGAGC